AUUACAUUUGAGAGAAAUAAGCUUUUGAUGCGUACGGAACCUUUCUGAGAUCAUUUAUUUCAGUCAUGAAACAUGGGACCAACACUUUACAUGUUGCGUUUAUAUUUUUGUUCAAUAUAUGUAGGUCGUGAAUGGCCUCACAGUCCAGUAGGUGGCGGUGUAUGCAUCUUAAAUUGGGUGCGAUCCGCCAACACAAUCCCAAAGAAGAAGUAUUUUUUGUCAUUGAGGCGGCAUGCUAGCAAAGUAGAGCUCAUUUUAAACUUUUGUUAAAACCCUACAUGCGUUUAUGUUUUGAGGAAAGGAGAUGAUUCGCUUGGAUGGAAAUGACCGAAACACAUUGAUGAACAUGUGGUUCAGCAUAUCUCAACGAGUCGGUUGUCCUUGGAAGUCAAGAGAUGCAUGCUGACAAUAGUACACACAUUUCUGUGGAGCCAAGAUCACAGAUCCCUCUCACCUCUGCUGUAAUUGGCCUACUGGUGGUUCAGGAUAUUUUAACAAGUCAAUGUCCUUGAAGUCACGUGAUGGGAGCCAUUGAGACCAGAUGCAUGAAGGGCCAAAGCAUAGAAAUAGAAUGACAGAUUCUAUUUCCGUGUCGCCAACAUCCAUGGAUCCCUCUCACCCCUGUUGUAAUUGGCCUACCUGUGGUUCAGGAUAUUUUAACAAGUCAUUGUCCUUGAAGUCACAUGAUGGGAGCCAUUGAUACCAGAUGCAUGAUGCCAAUGAAGUGGCAAAGCAUAGAAAUAGGAUGACGUAGAUUCUAUUUCUGUGGCUCCAAGAUCCAUGGAUCCCUCUCACCUCUGCUGUAAUUGGCCUACCUGUGGGUCGGCAUCUCAUCGUGCCCGAUGUCCUUGAUGAACUCGCAUGAUGGGUCGUCUGUUGAGACCAGAUGCAUGAUGACAAUGAAGGGGCAAAGCAUAGAAAUAUAUUAUCACAUUCGAUUUCUGUUAGAAAUGGGUUCCUCUCACCGCUGCUGUAAUUAGCCUACUGGUGGUUCAGGAUAUUUUAACAAGUCAAUGUCCUUGAAGUCACGUGAUGGGAGCCAUUGAGACCAGAUGCAUGAAGGGCCAAAGCAUAGAAAUAGAAUGACAGAUUCUAUUUCCGUGUCGCCAACAUCCAUGGAUCCCUCUCACCCCUGUUGUAAUUGGCCUACCUGGCUUAACCAAGACAAACACGGAUGACCCUGGGCCAAUCGUGCUCCUCCAUAUGGGACUCUCAAUCACGGCCGGAUGUGAUACAGCCUGGAUUCGAACCAAGGACUGUAGUGACGCUUCUUGCAUUGAGUGCCUUAGACCGCUGUGUGUGUGUAACUAUUUAACUGUACUAGAAUGCUUAAAAGCCCCCUAAAAUGUUUAUCUGUAUUUAUUAAUUAUAAACAAUGGCAAGGAAAAUAUUGGAUAUCUACAAAUUGUUAUCGGUGCAUCACUAAUGAGAGCUACUAAAACAAUUAUUUAUUUUUUAUAGUGUUCAAAUUGGCACAUUGUUCUCCUCUGCAACUCUUCCACGGGAUUUGUUUGUUGAUAACUGGUCAAAUAAUGGCUCAUGAAGAAGGCCCCAUUAAAAUGUGUUCUGUACUUUUAUUUUUUUUAAAUGUUACACUCAAUAGGCUUAUUACAAAUGUGCAUUGAGAAGUUAUCUGAGUCCAUGUCAAUGUUUAAAUCAGAUAAAUUGAGGUCUGGUGGAAACUAACACAUUGGAGUUUAAUUCUCCUUUUAAUUAUGCAUUAAGCAAGAAAGGAAUGUCAGUAGCUAUGUUUCUGCUGUUAGGCCUGCUGCAGCACAGUUUGCAAAACAAUGGCAACCCAAUUGAUACUACAAAUCAUAUCUCUUUGUCAGGUAAGCCUACUAUGCAGUUACCAUUUUAAUUGGUUUUGGGGGGGGAAGUCUGCCUACCCGCAAGACGGCUAUCAUUAGCGCGGGUCUACCCGCAAGACGGCUAUCAUUAGCAUCCCUAACUGGAUAUAUACGGAGUGCUAGACAAAUGUGCACACCAAACAGACAGACUGGGGAAAUAUUGCUGGAAAUGAAUUGGCAGAUAUUGUUACGUUUGUGUUUUUAAGCCGAUGGUUGCUACCCAGGGGUGGGAUAAUGUCAAUGUGGUGUUGAUGGGAUAGCAGCCAGGAGCUUUGUUUAUGACCGUUUGCGAUAGAAUUCAAAAAAAUAAAAGCAGUGAAGGAGCAGAAUCAAACUAACCGUUGAUGUUUUGACUGAUGUAUAUUCAUAGAACUAGAUUAAAUGUUAUGUAUAGUGGUAUAUUGUCAUCGCGAUAACCAUUUGUCAAAGAUUCAGUGAUGUAUGUUAUUAUCCACUUCCUGUAGCAAGCAACAAUGUAGCAAGCAACAAACGCUACAACCGUGAAAAAUGUGUUCAUGACAGAAUGACCUUGCAGGGGGCUCUGUAACAACUUGACUCUCAGCCAAGACCAUAUCACAUUUGUGUGACUGUAUUUCUGGAACAUGCUGUUCUCUUGGUGUAAACUAAUGUGGCAUGAUGUCAGAACUGUAGUUUUGCUGUACAAUUGUUCAUGACUCAUCAAUAAAACUAGUAAACAAAUU